rnacentral:tRNA from 1 species
GUCCGACUGGCCCAGUGGUUAAGGCGUCUGCUUUACAGUCGAUAAAGGACAAGUAACCGCAGAAGAUCACAGGUUCGAUCCCUGUGUUGGACA